rnacentral:tRNA from 1 species
GCCCCUGUAGCUCAGCCUGGAUAGAGCACCUGAUGGCAUUGAGUUAUCUCAUGUCGGGUGAACCUUCUAAGCAGGGGGUCGAGGGUUCAAAUCCCUUCGGGGGC